CUGGGACAAUGUGGCUGUGUUAGUUGAUGAAACACUUAUACCACAAGAGCUGUGUAGCCCGAUCCUACAGACCCCAACACACCAGAACAUAAAACAAAAGGUCCUUCUAAUAAGGAAUAAGAACGUUGGAAACAGACAAUCCGUUCCUGAACAAAGGAUCCGUAAGGGUGAUGGCUACUCGAUAGCACAUAGGGCUGAAAUCAACCAUGAUAAAAGGCCGUGUGCUUCUCUAAACCUCUCUGUGAAAGCUGCUACCCCUAAAAACGUUCACCAUCGUAAGCAUAAGAAGCAAUUUAUUGAGCCUGAGCCAUACCAGAAAGGCUUCCCGCCCAAAAGACGCAACCAUUCCUUUGUUCCGGUCUCAUCUUACCCGGCCACUGUAUCUUAUGAUCCUAACACAGUUGCAGAGCAAGUAACGACGACCGAAGACUUAGAGUCCUUGCAUUUGUUGUCGUCUAAGUGUGAUUUCACACAUAGUACACCAAAGCCCUGCCACCC